UAGCGUCUCUGGCUGCUGUUGACUUUGUUUUUGGAGUAAAACACGGUGGAAGCUGAAUUAGUGAGGAUGACUCCUGCUCCUGUCAUCUCUAAGCUCCUCACACAUCUUUACCUGCACAUGAGGAAAAUCACUCCUGUAGAAUGCAGAUGUUCAGAGGGAGAUGAUGCCACAUCUGGUCCAGCCGAUGGAAGGUCUUGAAGUUCUCUGACUGGCCUCGACUGAAGAUGGUCGUCUCACUGGAUUUAAGGUUCAGAUGCUCAGUAACAAACUCCACCAAUGAGCCAACAGGGAAGCUUUAGGUUUAUUAAAUGUUGCUAUGAAGGUAUUGCUGUUUUUCUUUGUGAAUGCAAUGUGCUCCAACUGAAACUUGAAUUAGAACUUAGAAGUAAAUCCUUCCACCUGAAAGGAUUUAGUUGCAUUAAUAACCUCAUAACAUUCUAAUUUUUAUUCCAGUCUUGGUUGAAAAUAGAAUCUCUGUAUUGAUUCAGGUAAAAACUGAACUUCACAGCAUGUUGGAGCAAAACAACCAGAUGAAAACUGUGAUGGUGUUGGAUUGUCAGACCGUAAUGUUGCAGCUCAAAGCAGCUUUUCUAGCUCAGUUCAGUCUGACAUUCAGCUAUGAAUCAACACAGCAGAUGGUGAUCCAUGCUGUGGAAGUCUCACAUCUCCUGAUUUAGUGGAGCUGCUUUGCACUUUUUACACUGUUUAUUCACCAACACUUUAUUUAAUAAAAGUCCCAUCUAGUUUUCAUGAGGAAUGUGAUGUUUUAAUUUCUCUGUGAAUAACUGCAGUCUAAUGCAACAGCUGGAAUUGUAACAUCUGUCCUGAUAUUGAUCAUGAAGUAUUGAUCAGAAUACUUAUGGUUAGCAGUCAUCCCUGAAGUUUUACAUUAAAAUCUUUACUUGUGUUGUGAACUUUGGUAAGAAGCAGAAACGUUAGCGUUGCCAUGGAUACAUGAGUGUUAAAUUCUGUCCAUGUUUCAAUUUUGGGAAAUGCAGUCCAGUUCCAGAAUGUGGAGGAAUUUAGUCUCAAUCACAGACAACAAAUAUUAUCUGAAAGUUGGGUUAUUGUUGUUUAUCAGCACAAUACAAAAAGAUUAAUGUUAGAAAUAUUCCAGUGAAGACUCUAGAAUAUCAUGAUUUAUGUAAAUUUACCUCCAUAAUAUGAAUGUUCGGGUUAAGAUUGUACAGUGAUAUUUAUUAUGUAAGUUUAGCUGAUUAAAGUUUAUGACUGCACUAAAAUAUUAUUUAAAUUGACAUCAUUAUUAUAAUAUUUAGGGUCAGACCCUUCAGUAUUGAGAUUAAGAAAUCAAAUAUUCUAUAAAAUGUAAAUACACUGAACUCAUUUGGAUAUAUUUAAGCGAGACUCUACAAUAUUAUUUGACACAAAUCUAUCUAAAUCAAAAUUUUAAUAAUUUUCAAGCCAAACAUUUACUGGACUGAUUUAAAUAUUAAAAUCACUCCUUUCUAAUCCUCUGCUGUACGUUCAAACCUGAGGCCUUAAAUAGAAACACACAAGUAUCUGUUUGAAGGAACUUCUGCAGAGUCCUGGUUCCAGAACAUGAUGAUAGAAUUAUAGACAAACUUUAACAAAAGCUGCCUGAGAGUUUACAGGUUUUUAUGCUAGAUUUCUUCAGUAAUUUAAUGAGUUAUCAGCAAAAAUCAAGUGUUCAUUUGAUGAACUUCAUUUCCUAAAACAUGCAGAAUUGGAGCUCAUAUCUUUGGCAGCUGUAAAGUUUCUGCUCCUUCAAAGUUCACAACCCAAUGAAUGAAUUCCUAAAACACUCUCAAUGCUGGAGAGCGUUUGUGAUGCUGAAGCAGUGACCAGUUUUUCUGUUUCUUCUCUGGAGAUGCACAAUGAGGGACGUCUGCAGCGACUGAGAAAGAGUCUCACCACAUCCUGACAUGAGGAAAAGACUUUAUUGUAGACUGCAAUGAGAAAAACUAUCAGACAGCAGACGGCUGCAUUCAAGGUGAGCUCUGAACAUUUGAUCUGGAACAGGAAUUCAAUAACGGCAGCAUGAGCUUCAUUUCAGUCUGUAGUUGCUGAAUUCAUGGAUGAAUCAUCUGGCACUAGAGAGGAAGACCAUCAAACAUCCAUGUCAGCUGAUGGAGGUCCAAGAGUCUCACCAAACAACCUACAGAGUGAAGACCUCGAAUCUGAUUGGACAGCCUCCUAUUCAGCCACGUGUGAACAAAUGCCUCGAAGCUGAUUUGUUUUCUAAAAUAAAUCUAGUUUGAGUCCUAAUCUAUGCCUGUGUUUGCUUCUUUACACGGCUGUUAACAGUUUAGGCUGUUAGAUUGUUCCAGAUAAGACAAGUACAAGAUUCUUCAGAGCCGUUCUACCACGAGCCUGACAGGAAGAACUCCAACAGCUACUGAAUGUUCCUGUGGUUCCCUCAAGGCUACAGGAGGAGCCCUACGAGGACGAGCCGGUCCACCUGAUGGAGGCCAGUCGCUGCGGUUCAAAGCCAACGCCGACUACGUGGACUUCUACUAGACCACAUGGAGGCCUUCAAACCGGACCAACAAGUUCAGCGACUCCCCGACUCGUGGGUCUGAGGACGCCGCCGAGCCUCGGUCCAGCCGGCCUCCUGUCUGUGGGUGUUUGAGUGCUGAGAGGUUUGUGGAUGCAUGUGAACGUGUCUGUGUUGAAACAGCAGCUUUUGACUCAGUAACGCUGGUAAAAACCAAGAGCUCCUUUAUUUGUGACUUCCACUAAUAAAACUGAUGAAAAUAAGUUUGCCAGGGUUCUGACUGAUAACAGAUUAUUAAAUAAUGAAAAUAAUCAUUUAAAUAUUCCUUUAAACAAUCCUUUUAGGUCUACAUUUCCUUUACACUGACUUCUUGGUAUAUGUACAAGUAUUUUGGGUGGAAUAUACCAUUAAGCCCAAUGUUCAAGGGUUCUGGGAAUAUACCAUUAAACCAACCUUUUAGGUAAAUGUUCCAGGAUGUUGAGUAGAAUAUACCAUCAGAUUAACCUUUUAGGUCUACAUUGGAAGAUUUUAGAGUAGAAUAUUACUCCAAACCAUCCUUUAGGUCUACAUUUAAGGUGGAAUACUCCUUUACACCAAGAUUUUUUUGGUCUACAUUGAAAGAUUUUUAGGUGGAAUAUUCCUUUGAAUGAACAUUUUAAGUUUUGUUCAAGGAUGUUGGGUGGAAUAUACCAUCAGACCAACCUCCAAGGUCUACAGUAGUGAAUUUUAGGUGGAAUAUACCAAUAAACUCACCCUUUAGGUCUACAUUAGAGGAUUUUAGGUGGAAUUUUCUUCCAAACCAUCUUUUAGUCUACAUUUAAGGAUGUUUAGGAUGGUAUAUUCUUCUGAACCAACUUCUCAGGUCUACAUUUCAGGUGGAAUAUUCCUCCAUAGUAACUUUAUUAGUCCACACUGAAGGAUUUUUUUCUAAACCACCCUUUUGGGUCUAUAUUUGAGGUUUUAGGUGGAAUAUUCCUUUUAACCAGCCACUCGGGUCUCUGAGGAUUUUGGAUGGAAUACUCUGUUAAACCAACAUUUUAGGUGCAUGUCCAAGGAUUUUUGCUGGAAUGUUCCUUUAAGGUGGAUGUUUGAGGACCUUGUAGGUGGAAUACUUCCUGAAACCAACCUUUUAGGUCAACAUUCAAAGAUUUAAGGUGGAAUAUUCCUUUAAACCAACCUAAAUUUCAUGUUUUGAUCAUUAUCAAGUGAGAAACCUCAAUCCAGACUCCUCAUAAUGACGUUUGAGAUUUAUGCUGCUGUUAUUUGUUUAGUCCAGACUAAAUGACAGAAAUC